rnacentral:rRNA from 1 species
AAGACCCCAUGGAGCUUCAAACCCAACUACACCCCUAGCUCUUAUAGCCCCACAACCCCCCUAGGCGCCGUGUGCUUGGUUUUAGGUUGGGGCGACCGCGGAGUACAAUAAAACCUCCACAAUGAAUGGGAACACCCCCUUAUCUGAGGGCCACACCCCCUAAGAAUUAGAACACUAACAUAAAAUGAUCCAUUACUUGAUCAAUGAACCAAGUUACCCUGGGGAUAACAGCGCAAUCCAUUUCAAGAGCCCCUAUCGACAAAUGGGUUUACGACCUCGAUGUUGGAUCAGGGUACCCCAGUGGUGCAGCAGCUACUAACGGUUCGUUUGUUCAACGAUUAA